rnacentral:rRNA from 1 species
UAUCUCUGUAGAGUCUGCAUAUCAAUAAGCGGAGGAAAAGAAACUAACUAGGAUUCCCCUAGUAACGGCGAGUGAAGCGGGGAAGAGCUCAAAUUUGAAAUCUUAAAGGUUUUCCCUUGACGAAUUGUAGUUUAAAGAAGUGUUUUCUGUUGAGUGUUUUGGUAAAAGUUCUUUGGAAUAGGACAUCAUAGAGGGUGAGAAUCCCGUAUUUGACCAUUACUUUCAGCUUUGUGAUACACUUUCAAAGAGUCGGAUUGUUUGGGAAUGCAGUCCAAAAUGGGUGGUAAAUUUCAUCUAAAGCUAAAUAUUGGCGAGGAGACCGAUAGCGAACAAGUACCGUGAGGGAAAGAUGAAAAGAACUUUGAAAAGAGAGUUAAACAGUACGUGAAAUUGUCAAAAGGGAAGCGUUUGACACCAGUGUUGUUUUUCUGAAAAUCAAUUAAAGAACUGUUUAUGCUAAGCUGUUUAGACUUUAUCAGCUAUCUGUUUAGUUUUGAGCUUUUCUUUAAUGCACUUUUCAGUUAACAAGUCAACAUCAAUUUCUUUUGCUGUAAAAAAGCUUGAGGAAGGUGGCUUGAGAUUCGUCUUAAGUGUUUAUAGCCUCUUGCCUAUGCAGUCGGAGAGAUUGAGGUCUGCAGCGUAGAUCCUUCGGGGCUAAAUGCAUUUGUGCUAAGUUAUAGCAUUUUAUAGACAACUUGUUGACUAUGAUUUGUCUUGUAGCUUACUCGCUUAUGUUAUUUUACCUACGCUUAGGAUGUUGACGAUCAGCUGAGCGCG